AGAGACUGGACUGCGCCUGCGGCAAGGAAGGACGGAGCAGAGCCACCUGAGGCCGAGCGGGAGCCAGACCCAGGGAUGACCGUCCUGGGGAGCCCCUCUGCACCCCGGAGGGGACGCAGGACGCCCGGAGCAGUCCCAGGCCCUGCCCCUCGCUUCACCCACGGAGCUCCUAGGUCUCUAUCGUGCCCAUCGUACCCGCUGCCCUGCACUUCCGCCCCAAGCUGGUGGAGGAGGGAGGGUGUCGCAGACACGGGAGCGCCGCGGACCUCCUACAGUCACCGUCCUGCGGCGCAUCGCGGGUGACCCAACAGCCUCCCGCUGCUCCCGAAAGUGGGACGGGGCCGGCGGAUCAUCCUCCAAGCCGGGGGCGGCCACAGGCCCGAUCAAUGCCAGGAUUCCUCCGACUCCAAGAAAGGCGACGGGGAGAAGCAGGAGGACUCGGAUGACUCCGGCACCAGGGAGGAGGGCGCCCGGGCCUCGCCGUCGCCAGGGCGGUCGGGACGGGGGGUGGCGGGCGGCGCGGGGCAGGGCCCGGUGCCCGGGAGGCCGCGGGAAGCGGGGGGCGUCGAGCCGUCGGGGGCCGAGCUCAGCAGCUCUUGCAGGUACUUUAUGUAGCGGAUGGCGGCGCGCAGCGUCUCCACCUUGCUGAGUCGCUUCUCAGCCAGGGCGCCGGGGAGGUGGCCGCGGAGGCGAGCGUAGCCCUCGUUGACGCACUUGACUCGCUGCCUCUCGCGCUCGUUGCGCUUCUGGAUGAAGGCUGGCUCGAAGGGGUAUUCGUAGACCCCGAAGGCGCCGGGGAAGGGCACGUAGGGGAACACCCCCGCAUAGGCGUCGUAGUAGGGCGGCUCUGCUGGGCCCGGGUACAGCAGGAAGGGCACGUUGCCCAGGGGCUCGGCGGGGGGCAGGGGCGCCUGCCGGGGAGGGGGCAUGACGCCCAGCUGCAUGCAGCUGGGGGGCCCCAGAGGCCUCCGGUCCACCAGAGCCCGGCAGAAGUUAUUGUUCAUGGUGCCGCGUGGAGCUGGACCCAGAGCGAGGCCUCCACCGAAUGGCCCCGGCUUGGGGUCUGCACCGUCUCCACCAGUGGGGCAAGUCACAUCGCUAGCAGCAGCUCUUGGGUACCAGGACUUGCUAGGGCCUCUUUUCGCCCUUUAGGGUGGCUUCCAAUGACUCCCUAACAAGAGCCAUCGCCCUAGACAAGUGUGGCCCCUCUCAGGAGGUCGGUGCACGCCUUCUCAGAGCCAGCCCAUGGCGCCGCGGAACUCUGAGGGCCCGCACCCCGUUCCGCAGCACCCAUGGGCAUGGCCACAGACCCGCCCACCCUGCCUCUUGCUGCCACCCAACAUGGGCACCUCAGGCCUAAACCACGGGCUCCAUGUCCUCCACACCCACCCCAGCGCCUGGUCCUUGGUCCUCGCGGCCUUCGGGAUCCCCGGGCUGUCCGGGGUCCCCAAACUGAUGGCUGCUGUUAGGAGUGCGCCAGCUCAGUGGAGGGAGUCCCCGGGAACAUUUCUAAAGAAGAGGAGAGGAGAGUGAACAUAUCAGUUAGGAAAGACCUGUAUUAUGGGCUUCUUUGUAUCAUCCCCACCCGCAAACGGGAUUGUAAGCCUCAUGAGGAGAGGCGGUUGGCUACUGAAGGGGCACAGAUCUGGGUUAAAAUCUUGUGUCCACUCCUUAAUAGUCGGGUGACCACUCUGAGUCGUGGUUUCCAUAACGGAAGGGCAAGGGAAACAUCCUUGACAGGAAAUUAAUAAGAUAUGAGAAUCAAAUGUGAAAAAAUAUAUGCAAAAAACACCUCCUAAAGGUCAUAGCUUAUAAAAAUGCCCAGUUUUGUCAUGUCCCUUGAGACUGGGGGAUUAAGUCUCAUCACUGAUCCCUUCCGGGGUCUUACAUCUAGAAGCGGGUCUGAGACUGCUUAUUGGAUUAGCAGCAGCAGCCAUCAGCCAAUGAGGGAAGCCAACUCUUUAUGGAAAGGAAUGCCUCUUUGAUAACAAGGUAGGUGUUGCUGGUCCAUUCAAAGCCCUCUGCCUGGCAGAGACAGUCAUCAAAGCCUUCCCUGCCCCAGUCCCUGUGGUCUGGGAUACACCCUCUCACCCCACCCUGGGUUUCUCCAUGGCACCUAAUGGAGCUGUCUAUUCUUUCACCUGUAUGCCCUGAGCCUAGCCCAGCCCCUGUUGAGUAUUAGAUGCUCCACAAAUACAUGUGGAAUAACAGAGAGAGGAUUAGGCAGAAAGCUGGGUUUGUCAGGGUGGGACUGAUUACACGUAGCCUUUCAUAGGCUUUAGGAAGUUGUUAUUUCAGAAAUAAUUGGUGUGUGUUGAGUUUAGGUGCCACCAAGCUUCAUUGCAUGUGGUUAUCAGAUCCAAGUUAGGUGCCAUUUUGUCUAGGAAGCCUCUCUGAUCGCACUCCCCCCUCUUGUGUGUGUCUACAGUGUUCCAUAAGUGCCAUCUUAGCACUUAUCACACUACUCUAUUAUUUUUUCCCUCUUCAUAAAAGAUGAUCAGGACUUAGCGAGUGAGUGAGUGAUGGGCAGCAUGACACCUUGGCCACUGGGCACGGCCUCUCCAAGAGACAGAAAGGAGCUAGCUCUCUCCCUGACAGGAGGAGGUGGUGGCAAACUCAGAUUCCCGAGAAUGUCUCCUUCUGCACCCUCUCACCUCUGUCCUUUUUGCAGGCCCUGAGUCUGUUUCCAGCUAGCUUUGUCCUCCACACUAAAUGAGGACCAAGAAAAAUCAACAAUGAUUCUAAGCGUCAUGGAGACUUAGGUAUGCUCUCAAAAGUGAAACCAGGCCGGGCAUGGUGGCUCACGCCUGUAGUCCCAGCACUUUGGGAGGCUGAGGUGGGCAGAUCACUUGAGGACAGGAGUUCGAGACCAGCCUGGCCAACAUGAUGAAACCCUGUCUCUACUAAAAAUACAAAAACUAGCUGGGUGGAAUGGUGGGUGCCUGUAAUCCCAGCUAAUUGGGAGGCUGAGACAGAAGAAUCGCCUGAACCUGGGAGGUGGAGGGUGCAGUGAACCAAGAUCAUGCCACUGCAUUCCAGCCUGGAUGACAGAGCAAGACUCCAUUAAAAAAAAAAGAGUGAAACCAAAUGUCUGAGAAUUCAGGACAAAUUCACAUAUCCCUCCCCUUCUCAGUGGCCUUCAAAGCCUCCCCGUUGCUUUCAAGAGAAGGUUCUAGAAAAUGUCUCCCAAACAGACCUUCAGAUCUCUCAGGUCAAUCUUCUCUGGAACUCUUUGCUUUCCGGAUCUCACACUUGGCUUGUGCUGGCUCCGGUCCUGGGGGCCCUCUCUACAUCUCUCUGCUUUACCCAGAGUCCUGCCAUCCUUGAUUCCAGCUCCUGCCCAUCCUGACUGCCUGAGCGCUCCGGCUUCCAACAUGGGUUGUGCAUUCUAAGAUGGCACAUUCUCUUUAAGGUUGUGCAUUCUAUGUCUUCAACCAGAAUGUAAGCAGUCGGAAGGCAGGGGCUAGGGCUUUUAUUUCUCAGGUAACACCUAUCAGUCCCUUGCUCAAAAUGAUUUUCUAGCGGUUCUCUUUUAUUGUACAAAUUUGGGAUCCAGACUACACUCUCCCAUAUGAUCCCUGUCUAUUCAUAUUUGACUUAAUUAUUUAAAUUUAAUUUGAUAGGGGUCAGAAGUUUAUGACAAUUUUAACAAGUACAACUUACUAUUUGUUCAUGUUGAUUUAAUAUUCAUAACUUAUUUAUUUUCCUCAUAUACUAUUUACCUUUUUUCAUACAACAAUUCAGAAAGGUGAUUCAAACAAGAAACUUCACAGCAGGACUAUGUAUUUCUUAAGCCAAUUCUGUCUUUACUGUUAGAAAAGAACUGAUAAGCCAGGCGAGGUGGCUCAUGCCUGUAAUCCCGGCACUUUGUGAGGCCAAGGAGGGAGGAUCACUUGAGCCCAGGAGUUUGAGACCAGCCUGAGCAACAUGGCAAAACCCUGUCUCUACAAAAAAUUAAAAAAAUUAGCAGGGUUUGGUGGCAUGUGCCUGUGGUCUCAGCUACUCAGGGGGAGGCUGAGUAGGGGAGGAUGGCUUAAGCCCAGGAGGCAGAUGUUGCAGUGAGCUGAGGCUGCACCACUGCACUCCAGCCUGGGCAACAGAGCAAGACCCUGUCUCAAGAAAAAAAAAAAAAAAGAGAACUCAUAACCUAUCUGCAAGAUACCAUAGGGGGGUACACAGCUGCAAGGGAAUUGUGUUCUGCAUCUAUCACUGAAUACCAGAAGCUGAGGAACACAGUGUAGCAUAUGACCAUUAAGCGGCGUGAUUUUCAUUCAGUAAAUAUGUACAGAGGGUCCUGGAUAUCCUGGGACUGCUCUAGGUACUAGGAUAGAACAGCAAACAAACAUUGUAGUGAAAUAAUAAUAAUAAUGAUAAUCAUAGCUACACUUAUUAUUCAUGAUGUGCAAGACCUCAUGCUAAGAGCCUGAUGUGAAUCAUCUCAUUUAAUUUUCACGCCAUCCUUGAGAGGUAGGUGCUAAUAUUGUCUGGUUUUACGGGUGAGAAACUUGAGGCACAUGAAGGGUAAGUCACUUUUUAAAGGCCCACUGUUAGGAAUUCAUGAACUAAUAAAGGUUAAUCCACCACCUCAGUUUCCCACCUCUUCCCUCAGUAUUUCUACUAGUGGCUUCUCAUCUGAUCAAAGGAACAGAGAGGUUUACACUGACCUAACAAAAGGAUCUUAGUAAAUUAUUCCUGCUGGAGAGGAAUUACAAUUAUAAUGAUAAUUCCUGGAGGGGAUGUCCCGCUGAAGAUUCCAAUUAUAAUGCUGUUAUUUAGCUUCUGCUAAGAGAAGAACUAAAGGUCACCCCGGUCAUCUUUUGGGAGGGUAGCACCCCCUUGAAGAUGUGUUUGGAGGGUGGCCCAUGGAGUUCUGCUGCUGGGAAGAUACAGACUGGAGUAUCAUCAGACUGAGUCAAGCAGCAGGAGCCCCCUUGCCUGAGCUUAGAAAACCUGAGCAAAGGCCCCAGGAGGAUCUAUCAGUAGCAGGGAACCUACUCAUCGGCUAAGUUCAUGGGACUGGGCAGAACCAGCUAUCAAUAGCGCCACGGUGUGGUGGUGAGACGCAGUGGCGGCAACAGAUUGAUGAAAUUCGCAUCCCGACCCCACGGGUGUCGAAGUCAUCACUUCCUGUGACAGCUCCCUUUGGGGACUGUGGGUCCCUAGGUCUCCUGGAAAAUUCAGGGUAAGAGAAGACCCCUUAGGAAAAGCUACUGAGUUUUCUGUCAACAUCUACUAAUUUUCUCCCUGUGUUUGUGAAGCAAUUCGUAUCACUUAAACUUUCACUAUGUACACAUACAUAAAAUAUGUAUUAAUACAAUUAGAUGUAUUUUGUUGUUUUGAAUUAAAAAUAGCAGUUGCAUCAGCAUUAGGCAACUUACUAGAUAAAAAUGUGACUCUGAAACAGUGGAAGAGCUUUUCCUCUACUCUUAGCCCCCAUGGUGACUGCUGAAAGAGCUAGUUGAGUGAACCCAUUGAUUGCAUUGAGUAGGCACAGACUAUUAGUUGCAGGCAAUGCUGUCCACCUUUUUAAGGGGCCCUGGUUCCUCUCUGGGACCAGAGCCACUCCUUGCCCUCAGCAACCCCAUUCAUUACCAGCUGUACUCUAGUUUACUUUGCCCUGGGAAGCAGCCGAGCAGAUGUGCUUGGCAGGAAGUAACUGCUGUUCCUCCCCAGAGCUUUCUUCGUGGUGCAAGCUACACUGAGCUGUUAGGCCUGCAGUCUACGCUCAGUUGUACCAUGUACAGUUAGUUUGUUUAGGGCCAGCUAUCAUCAAUUAUUGUGCAAAGAACUUUCUAAUCCUCAAAUCUGACUUGCACCAGAGAGGGCGUAUUGUCAGCGGGGGUCUCCUGGGCCUCCUUUGCAAUACCUUGCCAAUUCUAAUUGUGUAGCACUAGUGUUUGCCCCACCAAUAUUAGCCCCUUGUUGUCCCUAUUGCCAGAGGAUCUCACUGUCCACACCCCUGGGGAUGGCACAUUAUCAUAACUUGCUGUUAAUGGUUUCAUACUCAUCCCCUGCCCAUCUCUCCCAGGCCUCUCCCUGGUGCUCAAUGUUCACCAGGGCCCUGUCUCCCCACCCUCCUCAGCCUUAUACUCUGCAUGGGCAACAGGCAACCUGAGGGCCCUCUCCCCAGGGCUCUUCCUGUCACUGCCCCCAACCCAGGCUGUAAACUGUGAGCCCAAGAACUCUGGUCUUAUCCUUCUUUGAGACACACAGUACACGCUCAGUUAAGUGUUUGUUGAUUGACACUGGUGGGAAGCCCUGGGGAGGCAAAGGCAGAUGUGAACUUUGAAGAAGCAGACAACAUAAUUCUACCUUUCAGGCUUUCCUCAUUGUCUUUAGCAGGACUGGAACCAGAGUUGGGGGUCUGAGGUCAGGAAUUGGCUGAACAUGUCUCUUUCAACAGGGAACCCAUGGCUCUGAAGGAAGUAUUGGGGAAAGUGAUUCCAUAGUCUUCUUCUUCUCCUACCACUCUGAGAGAUUUCUGAGAGUUGACCAGUCCAUAAUGCUGCUUUUGGGCAGCAACAGGGAGACUGCUUCCAUAGCCUCCCCUCUACCCACUGCCGCCAAAAACUGGGAACAUUUGUAAGGAAGCCCCAAGGACUCAGAAUGACAGAACUCAUUAGCUUUGUGGAAUCCUCACUCAUUCCCCUGCCUCCAGGCAAGGUGGUUGCUAAAACCUUUCCCCUAAGGGCUGCAUAAUUUGAGAAAUGCAGCUCCCCGCAUUUCCCUCCUUGGAUACCCACAUUAGCGUUGGCCCUUGGAGGGCAUGUUAGCAUCAGAGGCCCUGGGAAGCCCUGCAGGUAAAGAAACCUGUUUGUAUUUAACCCCCAAAUUCCCAAUGGAACCACAGAACACUUAAAAAAUGGUCUUAAGCCCACUAACAUCAAAUAGAAUACACUUCAGGAAAUUCUGCCUUUAAAUCUUCAGGGUAAAUGUAUUUUUUUAAGAAACAAAUAGGGGCUGGUGUGUGGCUCACACCUGUAAUCCCAGCACUUUCGGAGGCCGAGGUGGGGGGAUCGCUUGAGCCCAGGAAUUUGUGACCAGCUUGGGAACCUUGUGCUUCUAGUCUUGUUUAAGUCUUACUCACCGCUACAUUUUCCUUUAGGAAUUCAGUUUUGUGUGUGGUUUCCAAUAGGGUUCUGUUUUAAUUUUGUAGACCAAUAAUUAGCAGUGUCGAUUUAUUUAGCAUUCAUUAAGCAGGCCAUCUUUUUAUCACUAACUUGAAAAAAAUCUCUCAUUAAAUAUUGUAUUCAUCUUUCAUUAGGUUCUGCAUACUUUAGUAGAGACCCUAUCUCUACUAAAAAUAAAAACGGUUAACUGGAUGUGGUGAUGCAUGCCUGUAGUCCCGGCUACUCAGGAGGCUGAGGUGGGAGGAUCAGUUGAGCUCAGGAGGUGGAGGCUGCAGUGAGCUGUGAUUGCAGCACUGCACCCAGCUGGGUGACAGACUCAGACCCUGUCUCAAAAAAAAAAACCCCAAAACAACAACAAAAACCCAAAUAGGAAAUCUUACAAUCUCCCUUGGGGGGUCUGUCACAUAACCUGUACAUAUUUCUAGAAGGAUAACCUCACCACCCCCACCAUAUACAUAGUGAACACUCCAGACCACAUAUUCAACAUAAGCAAUCCUUUCAGAAUCUUGACGGGUAUAGUUUCAACACUGAUGGGAGAAGGGGCAGCCAGGCCCUGUGACCAUGAGCCCACAUGGCACCUUGCUGGGUUAGAAAAUGAUGCUUCAUGCUCUGGGUGGGUGUUGUGCAGGCGGGAUUCCAGCCCCACUUGCCCCCUUAGCCUGCACUGAAUGAGGAAGUACUAUCCAUGGGCCCCAGAGCCUGCUUAGCCCCUCACGCUGCCCUCCACGCCAUCCUCCCUGCCUCAGGUUUGGAAACCUCUGUUGCUCCGCAGCAACCUGGCUGCAUCCAGUUUCACAAAGAGAAAAGCUCACAGAGCUUUGACAUGGGCUGACCAAGCCAAGUCCUCAAUGUGGCAUCACUUUGCUGAGAGUCUUAAAGAAGAGAAACAGGGUGGAGAAGGAUGGGCUCGCGUGGAUUAGGUGCCCUCUGAUGCUUGGUGCUUUGCGGCGUGCUCUGCUUUCCUUAUCCCAUGCUAUCCUCACACCUGAGAGAAGGUAUUACUGUUCCUGUUUACAAAAGAGGAAACAGGCUCAGAGAGGCUAAGAGAGCUGCUCAGGGUCACACAGCCGAUUGAAUUUACCAGGGUCUCAUUGGGUUGAUAUGAGGACUUUCUUGGCCGGGCAGCGGUCCCCACCUUUUUUAUGAGUAAUGAUUGUUACAGGAUCUCCUGGGGGUGGAGCUGGGUGAGGAAUUUAGUCCUUCCCAGUUCCCUGAAUAUAACCAGGCAUUUGCAAUGCUGUGGAGUUAUGGGAAGAUGUUCCCAGAGGCAACCACCCCACUGCUAAACCCUGAGCACGGGCUUUAGAUUAAACUGGCCGGGAUGAAUCCUGGCGCUGCUCUUACUGGCUAAGUAGCUUUAGGCCAGUUACUGACUUCUAUAAGCCUGUUGCCUCAUCUGAAAAGUGAAGGUAAUAAUACCUACCUUAGAGGUUACUGUAAAGACAAAGGUAAUGUAUGUGAGCCACGUGGCACCUAAAAGCAAUUGAAUUAAUGGUAGCUCUUAUUGCCGUUAAGGGACGGGUGACCUUCAGAAAAGCUCCCAGAAGCUCUAGGACCCUUGGAUGUGGCUAAGAGAAGCCCAGGACGGCAGGUGCCCCACCAAUAUUGUUCCACCAAUGCUUACACCCAGUAGCUUCCCACAGUCACAUCUGUCCUGAGUCUAAAAGGAAAAUUCUAUGCAUUAAAUGUCCGAUUUUUCCCCUCCAAUCUUUGAAUGAAAAGGGUAACUGAAUUCAAAUAAUUCUAAUAAAUUGAAUUUAUUCAACCGUGUGUUCUAUCGCCUGUCAAUCCACCUACCAAAUAACAUCUCCUGAGCUCCU
rnacentral:lncRNA from 10 species